rnacentral:rRNA from 1 species
UACAAUGGCGUAAACAAAGGGAAGCGAAGUGGCGACAUGGAGCAAAUCCCAAAAAUAACGUCCCAGUUCGGAUUGUAGUCUGCAACCCGACUACAUGAAGCCGGAAUCGCUAGUAAUCGCGGACCAGAAUGCCGCGGUGAAUACGUUCCCGGGUCUUGUACACACCGCCCGUCACACCAUGGGAGUUGGAAAUGCCCGAAGUCAGUGGCCCAACCGGAAGGGGGAGCUGCCGAAGGCAGGUUCGAUGACUGGGGUGAAGUCGUAACAAGGUACC